rnacentral:rRNA from 1 species
UACGUAGGGGGCUAGCGUUGUCCGGAAUCAUUGGGCGUAAAGCGCGUGUAGGCGGUUCGGUAAGUCCGCUGUGAAAGUCGGGGGCUCAACCCUCGGAUGCCGGUGGAUACUGUCGGGCUUGAGUACGGAAGAGGCGAGUGGAAUUCCUGGUGUAGCGGUGAAAUGCGCAGAUAUCAGGAGGAACACCAAUUGCGAAGGCAGCUCGCUGGGACGUGACUGACGCUGAGACGCGAAAGCGUGGGGAGCAAACAGG